rnacentral:rRNA from 1 species
AUGGGUGAGCCGCCGAGCCGAGAGGGAUCCUAUUCCUCCUUCCCCAACUCCGACGACGACGAGCCGGAGACCACCGGAUCGGAACGAGGAGGGGGAGGAGGAGGAGAGGAUGCUCAUCGCCCGCUGCCUCUGCGCCAGCAGCUCGUGGGGGCCUGCCGCGCCGACGACCGUCUCAGGCCUCUCCUCACCCUCAACGUCUCAUGCUCCGCCGCCGAGAACCGCUUCAUAUCUCACCUCUCUCAGCACUUCGAGGUCUCGGAGGUGGGCAUGCUGGCAAGGUGUCUCUGCGUUCCCCUCGUCUCGCUGCGCGUCGGCAAGGUUGACCGCCACGGUCCCCUCCUCUGCCCAACAACCAUCAGAGGGAAGCUUAACCUUGGCCUUCUGCCUUCAUCGAGCAUGCGCCUUACCUUCUCCGGUGACGAUGGUUGUUCAGAGGAAUUGGCUCUGUUGAACGAAGGCCUAGAAGUUUCAGAACUUGUGAUUGAAGAAAUAUCAGCUGAUAAUUCUGGACGUUCUUUCCUUAUCAGGAUUUCAGAAUCUAAAAGAUUGUACUACUGGUGCGCUGAAAAGUCGAAGGAAUGUGGAAUGGAGCUUCUUGCAAAGAUGAAAAAUCUACUUCAGGGCAGGCCAACCCUCUCUGAUCUCACAGGCAUCUCCAAUUCCCGACUUGAUGCUUUUGUUACUAAUUUACAUGCUUAUCUUCUUGCACCAAGUAUUGGAGAUGCUAAAUUGUUGGGAUCAUCUACUGACUUCCUCAGUAAUUCAAGUUCACAAGGGCAACAUUUACAGCCCCCAUCAGUCGUUUCCAGGUCUUCAAGGUCUUGCACCUCUGCCGCUAAUGCAACAAAAGCAAGCUUGAUCUAUCAAGCCAGUCUGAGUCCCAGAUCCAGCACUUUUAAAGAUGGGGUUCCAAGGACCUCUUGUGCAAAGGUUGUUGGAAGAGAGAAGCUGAAGCGGCGUGGGGACUGGUUGGGCCCAUCAACUGCUCUAAUCGAUGCAAAUCCUUUGAUAGCAAAGAGUGUUAACCCUGAUUCAACCAGUGAGGUGUCUGAUAGGGACUGUUCAAAAAACAGUGUCACUCCCGCUUCUUCAUUAGACUUGCCUCUUUCAUUUCCCUUGCUGCCACCUCUUUAUCCACUCCCAGAGGGUUCUUCAGAGAAUCCAUUUAAGCCUUACUAUUGCUGGUGUCCGCCAUGCCCAUCGUCACUGCAGUACAGUGUAACCCCUCUGCAUAUGCCAGUUACAUCUGUAGAACCAUUUCCCCAGUCACCUUUGGGCUCACUGGUAUCAAAUGAAGUAUCAUCUGUCUCGUCAUUUUCUGCAAAGUUGGAUACAACUAAUUCACCUCCAUCUAUACUGCACGAUCCUUCACUUCACCUCCAGCUUCCUACUUCAAUUGUUCCCCUGCAUGGUUCUAUGGUUUCAACAUAUCCGUUACUUCAUCUGCCGUUUCCCACUUCACCUCUUGUUCCUGUACAUGGUUCGCAGGUUCCAACAUUUCCGUUGCUUCACCUGCCACUUCCUACUUCACCAUUUGUUUCAUUGCAUAGCUCACAGGCUUAUUUGGUGAGUUGUGGUCCUUCUAUAACUUCACCUGUUCCCCUGCUCCCUAGCUUGAAGCCUCUGAUUCCAGAAACCGAAUCGUUGGUUGAGAGGAGUGCUAGGGAAACACUAAUGAGACUUUUAGCUUCGACACCACCAUCAAGCAACCCCCAGCUGGUCAACAUUCUCCCUGCAGUCCUUACUGAUGUGCCUGAAAAUAUUUCUCGAUCUCCUAAUGUGAACAUGCAUGUUGGUGUCCAUCGCAACGACCUACUUCUUAGCUCAUCUUGGGGUGCUAAUGUGAUUGGAAGUGGGAUGGCAGCCAUGGAGCUGCACUCAGAGGAUGAGGUUUCCAGUGGGCAUGAUGCUCAUGCAAUGGUUGCGUUUACGGAAUUUGAUGAUAUCAACGGAGACCGUGAUCAGCCCCAUUUUCGGAGGAUGUAG